rnacentral:rRNA from 1 species
GACGAACGCUGGCGACGUGCCUAAUACAUGCAAGUCGAGCGAAUCAAUGGGAGCUUGCUCCCUGAGAUUAGCGGCGGACGGGUGAGUAACACGUGGGUAACCUGCCUGUAAGACUGGGAUAACUUCGGGAAACCGGAGCUAAUACCGGAUACGUUCUUUUCUCGCAUGAGAAGAGAUGGAAAGAUGGUUUCGGCUAUCACUUACAGAUGGACCCGCGGCGCAUUAGCUAGUUGGUGAGGUAACGGCUCACCAAGGCGACGAUGCGUAGCCGACCUGAGAGGGUGAUCGGCCACACUGGGACUGAGACACGGCCCAGACUCCUACGGGAGGCAGCAGUAGGGAAUCUUCCGCAAUGGACGAAAGUCUGACGGAGCAACGCCGCGUGAGCGAAGAAGGCCUUCGGGUCGUAAAGCUCUGUUGUUAGGGAAGAACAAGUACAAGAGUAACUGCUUGUACCUUGACGGUACCUAACCAGAAAGCCACGGCUAACUACGUGCCAGCCGCCGCCGUAACAC